UACGUAGGGGGCGAGCGUUGUCCGAAUUCACUGGGCGUAAAGCGCGCGUAGGCGGGUUUUUAAGUUGUGGGUGAAAUCCCGGGGCUCAACCCCGGAACUGCCUGCAAAACUGGGAGCCUUGAGGUAUGGAGAGGGAAGUGGAAUUCCAGGUGUAGCGGUGAAAUGCGUAGAUAUCUGGAGGAACACCCGUGGCGAAGGCGGCUUCCUGGCCAUAUCCUGACGCUGAGGUGCGAAAGCUAGGGGAG
rnacentral:rRNA from 1 species